rnacentral:lncRNA from 1 species
ACCUCCUUCCGGUCUGAACAGUGAACUCCUCCGCAUGGACUCACGGGUUCACCUCCUUCCGGUCUGAACAGUGAACUCCGCAUCGACUCACGCGUUCACCUCCUUCCGGUCUAAAUGUUCUGUUCGGUUCUAUUUUGGUGGGGCCCACGCGUCAUCACAGAGUAUCUGGGAGCCCUGCCCUCUUGCAGAUGGGAAUGAAGGCCCAGGUGCUCUGGAGAGGUGACUCUCCUCUAGUUGUCUCGCUUCUCAGAAAGGAAACACUGGUUCUGUAAACCUGUUUGAGAAGAAAAGCUCGAGGUUUCUUGGCCUCUCUGCUUCUGGAGCCAGGGGAAAAAAUAGCCCCAGGCUGAAGACAGGAGGGACCAGAUUGCUGCUUGGUGAUGCGAUCUCACUGCAGAGGCAGCCAGGAGACCCUCCUGAGACGAAUCGGAGAGUCCAUGCUGCUUUUACACACAUCCUAGUUCUUUUAUAACUAGCCUUUUCCUAUUAACGGACAUCAUUCAAAAGCCAGUUUUAAGCAACAUAAAUAUUGAAAACAAUACUAUACUAUUUAGAAUUAAUUAUAAGUUUUGUUUUUAAAGCCUAAAUCUUUUAUUGUUGUUUGAACCCUGGGCACUGAAGCUAAUAAUGUAACUUUUCUCCCUUCUUUCUUCUUUGGCAUAGAUUUAAAGAACUGUUAGACUCAUUUAAAAUGCUAUUAGGCAUUUUAAAGAGUAAUUGUUAAAUGUGUUGUCUCUUGUGGGACUGGAAAUGUUCUGUUCUUAUCUGGCGCUGGUUACAUCCUGUUUUUCAUUUGGGAAAGUGCAUUGAGCUGGAAAUUUAUAUGUUCAAUUUCUGUAUGUAAAUUGUACUUCAGUAAAAAUUUUCAAAAAAGUGGCUGCCUUUUA